rnacentral:tRNA from 1 species
UCCCUGGUGGUCUAGUGGUUAGGACUUGGCGCUUUCACUGCUGUGGCCCAGGUUCAAUCCCUGGUCUGGGAA